UACGUAGGGGGCAAGCGUUGUCCGGAAUUAUUGGGCGUAAAGAGCGCGUAGGCGGUCCGGUAAGUUCGGUUGUGAAAGUCGGGGGCUCAACCCUCGGAUGCCGAUCGAUACUGUCGGGCUAGAGUCCGGAAGAGGCGAGUGGAAUUCCUGGUGUAGCGGUGAAAUGCGCAGAUAUCAGGAGGAAACGACCAAUGGCGAAGGCAGCUCGCCUGGGACGGUACUGACGCUGAGGCGCGAAAGCGUGGGGAGCAAACAGGG
rnacentral:rRNA from 1 species